CAAGGCGACGACGGGUAGCCGGCCUGAGAGGGCGACCGGCCACACUGGGACUGAGACACGGCCCAGACUCCUACGGGAGGCAGCAGUGGGGAAUAUUGGGCAAUGGANGAAACUCUGACCCAGCGACGCCGCGUGAGGGAUGAAGGCCUUCGGGUUGUAAACCUCUUUCAGUAGGGAAGAAGCGAAAGUGACGGUACCUACAGAAGAAGCACCGGCUAACUAUGUGCCAGCAGCCGCGGUAAUACAUAGGGUGCAAGCGUUGUCCGGAAUUAUUGGGCGUAAAGAGCUCGUAGGUGGUUCGAUACGUCGGAUGUGAAAAUCAGGGGCUCAACCCCUGACCUGCAUCCGAUACGGUCGAGCUAGAGUUUGGUAGGGGAGACUGGAAUUCCU
rnacentral:rRNA from 1 species